rnacentral:rRNA from 1 species
UACGUAGGGGGCUAGCGUUGUCCGGAUUCAUUGGGCGUAAAGCGCGUGUAGGCGGCCAGGUAGGUCCGACGUGAAAACUGGAGGCUCAACCUCCAGCUGUCGUUGGAAACCAUCUGGCUAGAGUCCGGAAGAGGAGAGUGGAAUUCCUGGUGUAGCGGUGAAAUGCGCAGAUAUCAGGAAGAACACCAAUGGCGAAGGCAGCUCUCUGGGACGGUACUGACGCUGAGACGCGAAAGCGUGGGGAGCGAACAGG